GGAGGCGACAGGGUGCCUGGUGGCCCUCCCGGUCUUCAAAACCGAUGGUCCCGAGCACCUCGGGACGGCGGGUUCGAUUCCCGCUCGCCUCCG
rnacentral:tRNA from 1 species